AUUGAACGCUGGCGGCAGGCCUAACACAUGCAAGUCGAGCGAGCGGCGGACGGGUGAGUAAUGUCUGGGAAACUGCCUGAUGGAGGGGGAUCACUACUGGAAACGGUAGCUAAUACCGCAAACCAUCAGAUGUGCCCAGAUGGGAGUAGCUAGUAGGUGGGGUAACGGCUCACCUAGGCGACGAUCCCUAGCUGGGAUGAGAGGAGGACCGGCCACAAGGGAACUGAGACACGGUCCAGACUCCGAAGGGAGGCAGAAGUGGGGAAUAUGGUGCAAUGGGCGCAAGCCUGAUGCAGCCAUGCCGCGUGUAUGAAGAAGGCCUUCGGGUUGUAAAGUACUUUCAGCGGGGAGGCGUUACCCGCAGAAGAAGCACCGGCUAACUCCGUGCCAGCAGCCGCGGUAAUAC
rnacentral:rRNA from 1 species